AUUGAACGCUGGCGGCAGGCCUAACACAUGCAAGUCGAGCGACCGGCGGACGGGUGAUUAAUGUCUGGGAAACUGCCUGUUGGAGGGGGAUAACUACUGGAAGCGGUAGCUCAUACCGCAUACCAUCAGAUGUGCCCAGAUGGGACUAGCUGGUGGGUUGGGUAACGGCUAACCUAGGCGACGAUCCCUAGCUGGUCUGAGUGGAUGACCAGCCACACUGGAACUGAGACACGGUCCGAACUCCUACGGGAGGCAGCAGUGGGGAAUAUUGCACAAUGGGCGCAAGCCUGAUGCAGCCAUGCGGGGGGUGUGAAGAGGGCCUUCGGGUUUUAAAGCACUUUCAGCGGGGAGGCGUUACCCGCAGAAGAAGCACCGGCUAACUCCGUGCCAGCAGCCGCGGUAAUUC
rnacentral:rRNA from 1 species